rnacentral:rRNA from 1 species
UACGUAGGGGGCAAGCGUUGUCCGGAUUUAUUGGGCGUAAAGCGAGCGCAGGUGGUUUAUUAAGUCUGGUGUAAAAGGCAGUGGCUCAACCAUUGUAUGCAUUGGAAACUGGUAGACUUGAGUGCAGGAGAGGAGAGUGGAAUUCCAUGUGUAGCAGUGAAAUGCGUAGAUAUAUGGAGGAACACCGGUGGCGAAAGCGGCUCUCUGGCCUGUAACUGACACUGAGGCCCGAAAGCGUGGGGAGCAAACAGG